UACGGAGGGUGCAAGCGUUAUCCGGAUUCACUGGGUUUAAAGGGUGCGUAGGCGGGCUGUUAAGUCAGUGGUGAAAUCUCAGAGCUUAACUCUGAAACUGCCAUUGAUACUAUCAGUCUUGAAUGUUCUGGAGGUGAGCGGAAUAUGUCAUGUAGCGGUGAAAUGCUUAGAUAUGACAUAGAACACCAAUUGCGUAGGCAGCUCACUACGGAAAUAUUGACGCUGAGGCACGAAAGCGUGAGGAUCAAAACAGG
rnacentral:rRNA from 1 species